rnacentral:rRNA from 1 species
GAUGAACGCUGGCGGCGUGCUUAACACAUGCAAGUCGAACGAAGCAUUUGCGACAGAUUUUUUCGGAAUGAAGUUGCUUAUGACUGAGUGGCGGACGGGUGAGUAACGCGUGGGUAACCUGCCUUGUACUGGGGGAUAGCAGCUGGAAACGGCUGUUAAUACCGCAUAAGCGCACAAUGUUGCAUGACAUGGUGUGAAAAACUCCGGUGGUAUAGGAUGGACCCGCGUCUGAUUAGCUAGUUGGUGAGAUAACAGCCCACCAAGGCGACGAUCAGUAGCCGACCUGAGAGGGUGACCGGCCACAUUGGGACUGAGACACGGCCCAGACUCCUACGGGAGGCAGCAGUGGGGAAUAUUGCACAAUGGAGGAAACUCUGAUGCAGCGACGCCGCGUGAGUGAAGAAGUAAUUCGUGAUGUAAAGCUCUAUCAGCAGGGAAGAUAGUGACGGUACCUGAAGAAGAAGCCCCGGCUAAAUACGUG